rnacentral:rRNA from 1 species
GUUAAGUUAGUAAGGGCGCACGGUGGAUGCCUUGGCACUAGGAGCCGAUGAAGGACGUGACAAACGACGAAAUGCCUCGGGGAGCUGUAAGUAAGCACUUGAUCCGGGGAUG